AAUACUACCACAACAGCGCCUGACGAAGCCCAUUAACCUCAGCAUACCGAGCCUGAACAACUCCUUGAACCCAACCAAUAGCAACCACCACAUAAAUACCAUUAUGGUCCCUAAUUAUAAAACCAAAAUCAACAUUACAUUUCAAGGUUUGAAGUUGCAACAGACACAGAAUUACUUCCCCUGACCUGCAAACGAUCGUUAAUCCAGCUUCUAACAUAAUGAACCCCAUGAUCAAUCACUUGUUGAGGGUGAAAUUGUUGUUGCUUCUAUAGGAACGAACUACUUUUAUUUGUAUCAAUUCAUUUAAUAAUUUCUCAACUAAAAUUUGCUAAAGAGCUCUCCUUUUUCCCUCUCAAGUUUCGUUUUCGUCUCUAAGAUUCAACCUUCGUUCUCUGCCAUGUAAAUUGGCUAUCCUUUGCCACUUCUAGAUAGGGAAUGUUUCCUUACCCUUUAAUAGCUCACCUAGAGAAUGGGUCUCUCCCUCCCCACCUUCAGGCGGGGCUAUAAAUAUUUUUUACUGUGAUUUUUGCCGGCAGACCCUAUGGUUUCUGAGCGAGGAUUAUCUUUUCCGUUCAGCUUGUCUUUAGUAGCUUCGGUUUGCAGCUCGUAGUUGGUUGGUUCGUUUUUCUGGGGUCGCAUGCUAGAGAGUAACCUGGUUUAGCUUUGGGAAGGGUAACUAGGGUAUUUUUGCUGAUCACUUCGAUGGUCGCAGAGUGAGAUUGCCGGCUGAGUUCUGCCUUUCCACUCUCCUCGCUGGUCACUGCCUGUCUCUCCCUUCGAUUUCCAUGGCCUGAGUUCUUUGGUGCAUCAAUGUUUCCUGGCUUGUUCGAUCUACGGUGUUGUUGGAUGACCUGUGUUUGAUUUUCUUCAACUUGCUUAACCACCGUUGGAGAAAUCCCCUGCAGCUAGAGGGCUUGCGGUGCCGCCGGCUUGAGUUUGUCAGAUCCUCCUUUCCCGGUGGAUAACCCGAAUAGCCUAGGAUUUUCUUGUUUUGGGUCUUAUGGACCUAGUUGAUCUUUGGUAAACUAGGCUUAAGGGUUUGCUGGGUUUUUUCUCUGUUAAGAGACUUGGACUAGGCUUCAUAUAAUUGGGCUUGACCCUAGUAUGCAA
rnacentral:misc_RNA from 1 species